UGGGGAAUCUUGGACAAUGGGCGCAAGCCUGAUCCAGCCAUGCCGCGUGUGUGAAGAAGGUCUUCGGAUUGUAAAGCACUUUAAGUUGGGAGGAAGGGUUGUAGAUUAAUACUCUGCAAUUUUGACGUUACCGACAGAAUAAGCACCGGCUAACUCUGUGCCAGCAGCCGCGGUAAUACAGAGGGUGCAAGCGUUAAUCGGAAUUACUGGGCGUAAAGCGCGCGUAGGUGGUUUGUUAAGUUGGAUGUGAAAUCCCCGGGCUCAACCUGGGAACUGCAUCCAAAACUGGCAAGCUAGAGUAUGGUAGAGGGUGGUGGAAUUUCCUGUGUAGCGGUGAAAUGCGUAGAUAUAGGAAGGAACACCAGUGGCGAAGGCGACCACCUGGGCCGAAACUGACGCUGAGGAGCGAAAGCAUGGGUAGCAAACAGGAUUAGAUACCCCUGUAGUCCCUGAGCGGGCUGGCAAGGCGCAU
rnacentral:rRNA from 1 species